rnacentral:rRNA from 1 species
UACGUAGGAGGCAAGCGUUUGUCCGGAAUUACUGGGCGUAAAGCGCGUGUAGGUGGUGGGACAAGUCUGCUGUGAAAGCGCCUGGCUUAACCGGGCGAGGUCGGCGGAAACUGUCCGACUCGAGGACGGUAGAGGGGGGUGGAAUUCCCGGUGUAGUGGUGAAAUGCGUAGAGAUCGGGAGGAACACCUGUGGCGAAGGCGGCCCCCCUGGGGCCGGCCCCUGACACUGAGACGCGGAAGGCGUGGGGGAGCGAACCGGG